rnacentral:rRNA from 1 species
UAGGGAAUCUUGCGCAAUGGGCGAAAGCCUGACGCAGCCAUGCCGCGUGAAUGAUGAAGGUCUUAGGAUUGUAAAAUUCUUUCACCGGGGAAGAUAAUGACGGUACCCGGAGAAGGAGCCCCGGCUAACUUCGUGCCAGCAGCCGCGGUAAUACGAAGGGGGCUAGCGUUGCUCGGAAUUACUGGGCGUAAAGGGCGCGUAGGCGGAUGUUUAAGCCGGGGGUGAAAGCCCGGGGCUCAACCUCGGAAUUGCCUUCGAUACUGGACAUCUUGAGUACGGGAGAGGUGAGUGGAACUCCGAGUGUAGAGGUGAAAUUCGUAGAUAUUCGGAAGAACACCAGUGGCGAAGGCGACUCACUGGCCCGUUACUGACGCUGAGGCGCGAAAGCGUGGGGAGCAAACAGGAUUAGAUACCCUGGUAGUCCACGCCGUAAACGAUGAGUGCUAGUUGUCGGCAUGCAUGCAUGUCGGUGACGCAGCUAACGCAUUAAGCACUCCGCCUGGGGAGUACGGUCGCAAGAUU